UACGAAGGGUGCAAGCGUUACUCGGAAUUACUGGGCGUAAAGCGUGCGUAGGCGGUUUGUUAAGUCUGUCGUGAAAGCCCUGGGCUCAACCUGGGAAUUGCGAUGGAUACUGGCAAGCUAGAGUACGGUAGAGGAUGGUGGAAUUCCCGGUGUAGCGGUGAAAUGCGUAGAGAUGUGGAGGAACACCAGUGGCGAAGGCGACUCUUUGGCCUGUAACUGACGCUGAGGCGCGAAAGCGUGGGGAGCAAACAGG
rnacentral:rRNA from 1 species